GAUGAACGCUGGCGGCGUGCUUAACACAUGCAAGUCGAACGGAAAGGCUCCUGCUUGCAGGGGUACUCGAGUGGCGAACGGGUGAGUAACACGUGGGUGAUCUGCCCUGCACUUCGGGAUAAGCCUGGGAAACUGGGUCUAAUACCGGAUAGGACGAUGGUUUGGAUGCCAUUGUGGAAAGUUUUUCGGUGUGGGAUGAGCUCGCGGCCUAUCAGCUUGUUGGUGGGGUAAUGGCCUACCAAGGCGUCGACGGGUAGCCGGCCUGAGAGGGUGUACGGCCACAUUGGGACUGAGAUACGGCCCAGACUCCUACGGGAAGCAGCAGUGGGAAAUAUUGCACAAUGGGCGCAAGCCUGAUGCAGCGACGCAGGGUGGGGGAUGACGGCCUUCAGGUUGUAAACUCCUUUCGCUAGGGACGAAGAGCAAGUGACGGUACCUGGAGAAGAAGCACCGGCUUACUACGUG
rnacentral:rRNA from 1 species